UACGAAGGGGGCUAGCGUUGCUCGGAAUCACUGGGCGUAAAGCGCACGUAGGCGGCUUUCUAAGUCAGGGGUGAAAUCCUGGAGCUCAACUCCAGAACUGCCUUCGAUACUGGCGACCUUGAGUCCGGGAGAGGUGAGUGGAACUCCGAGUGUAGAGGUGAAAUUCGUAGAUAUUCGGAAGAACACCAGUGGCGAAGGCGGCUCACUGGCCCGGUACUGACGCUGAGGUGCGAAAGCGUGGGGAGCAAACAGG
rnacentral:rRNA from 1 species